AGCUUGCUUCUCUUGAGAGCGGCGGACGGGUGAGUAAUGCCUAGGAAUCUGCCUGGUAGUGGGGGAUAACGUCCGGAAACGGACGCUAAUACCGCAUACGUCCUACGGGAGAAAGCAGGGGACCUUCGGGCCUUGCGCUAUCAGAUGAGCCUAGGUCGGAUUAGCUAGUUGGUGGGGUAAUGGCUCACCAAGGCGACGAUCCGUAACUGGUCUGAGAGGAUGAUCAGUCACACUGGAACUGAGACACGGUCCAGACUCCUACGGGAGGCAGCAGUGGGGAAUAUUGGACAAUGGGCGAAAGCCUGAUCCAGCCAUGCCGCGUGUGUGAAGAAGGUCUUCGGAUUGUAAAGCACUUUAAGUUGGGAGGAAGGGCAGUAAAUUAAUACUUUGCUGUUUUGACGUUACCGACAGAAUAAGCACCGGCUAACUCUGUGCCAGCAGCCGCGGUAAUACAGAGGGUGCAAGCGUUAAUCGGAAUUACUGGGCGUAAAGCGCGCGUAGGUGGUUCGUUAAGUUGGAUGUGAAAUCCCCGGGCUCAACCUGGGAACUGCAUUCAAAACUGACGAGCUAGAGUAUGGUAGAGGGUGGUGGAAUUUCCUGUGUAGCGGUGAAAUGCGUAGAUAUAGGAAGGAACACCAGUG
rnacentral:rRNA from 1 species